rnacentral:rRNA from 1 species
CUUGAGUAACUAUAAGAGGUCCAGCCUGCCCAGUGACUUUGUUCAACGGCCGCGGUAUCCUAACCGUGCGAAGGUAGCGUAAUCACUUGUCUUUUAAAUGGGGACUUGUAUGAACGGCAUCACGAGGGUUAUACUGUCUCCUUUUUCUAAUCAGUGAAACUAAUUUUCCCGUGAAGAAGCGGGAAUAAACAUACAAGACGAGAAGACCCUAUGGAGCUUUAAACUCAAUAACAAAUACUGACCUUACAUCAACUUUCAGAAGAUUCACCUUAAUUUUAGUAUUAUGAUUAUUAGUUUUAGGUUGGGGUGACCGCGGAGUAAAAAUUAACCUCCACAUUGAACGGGACCUAUUCCUGAGCCAAGAACUACAGCUCAAAGCACCAACAAAUUGACAUUAAUUGACCCAAUAUUUUGAUCAACGAAC